rfam:Ipomoea nil DNA, scaffold: scaffold0862, cultivar: Tokyo-kokei standard.
GACCGUAUAGCGCAGUGAUUAGCGCGUCUAAUUUCGGUUCAGAAGGUCGUGGGUUCAACUCCCACUGUGGUUG